AUGGGAACCUUUCGAUAUCUCCGAGACCGUGUUUGGGAGAAGGUGAAGGGGUGGAUGCAAAAACUCUUGUCUUAUGCGAGGAAGGAGAUCUUGAUUAAAGCAGUGGCACAGGCGCUCCCGGUCUUCUCCAUGGCAUGUUUCAGGUUACCGAGAGGACUUUGUGAGAAUAUCACGAAGAUUAUCCGGCAGUUUUGGUGGGGCAGUAAGGCGGGGAAGCGCAAGCCCAGCUGGGUGGCUUGGGACGACAUGGCCAGACCAAAACACCUUGGGGGUUUGGGAUUCAGAGAUAUGGAAAUUUUCAAUCUAGCACUACUCGCCACGCAAGCUUGGAGAAUCUUGAGCGAGCCAUCCUCUCUUAGUGCGAGGAUUUUGAAGCCAAUAUACUUCCCAGAGACUUCUUUGCUUGAUGCAGAAUCAGGAAGCAAGCCAUCGCAAAUAUGGCGGGCAAUACUUGAUGGACGAGAUAUGUUGAGACAUGGAAUCAUAAGAAGAAUUGGCAAUGGUCAGUCUACAGAAAUUUGGAGACACAACUGGCUUCCCGCCCGGGCAUGA
rnacentral:rRNA from 1 species